AUUGUCACCCUGAUUAUUUAACUUCUAUGCAGAAUACAUCAUGAGAAAUGCUGGGCUGGAUGACUCACAAGCUGAAAUCAAGAUUGCUGGGAGAAAUAUCAAUAACCUCAGAUAUGCAGAUGACACCACCCUUAUGGCAGAAAAGUGAAGAAGAACUAAAAGCCUCUUGAUGAAAGUGAAAGAGGACAGUGACAAAGCUGGCUUAAAACUCAACAUUCAGAAAACUAAAAUCAUGGCAUCUGGUUCCAUCACUUCAUGGAAAAUAGAUGGAGAAACAGUGGAAACAGUGAUGUAUUUUCUUUUCCUGGGCUCCAAAAUCACUGUGGACAGUGACUGUGGUCAUGAAAUGAAGACACUUGCUUCUUGGCAGAAAAACUAGGACAAACCCAGACAGAAUAUUAGAAAGCAGAGACUUUGCCAACAAAGGUCCAUAUAGUCAAAGCUAUGGUUUUUCCAGUGGUCAUGUAUGGAUGUGAGAGUUGGACUAUAAAGAAAACAGUGCCGAAGAAUUGAUGCUUUUGAAAUGUGGUAUUGGAGAAGACUCUUGGGAGUCCCUUGGACUGCAAGGAGAUCCAACCAGUCCAUCCUAAAGGAAAUCAGUCCUGAAUAUUCAUUGGAAGGACUGAUGCUGAAGCUGAAAUGCCAAUACUUUGGCCACCUUAUGUGAAAAGCCAAAUUCAUUAGAAAAACCCUGAAAGGGUUGAAGAAAGGAGGAGAAAGAUUGAAGGCAGGAAGAGAAAGGAGUGGCAGAGGGUGAGAUGGUUGGACGACAUCACUAGCUCAAUGGACAUGAGUCUGCACAAACUCUGGGAGAUAGUGAAAGACAGGGAAGCCUGGUUGGCGUGCUGCAGUCCUUGGGGUUGCAAAGAGUUGGACACGACUGAGUGACUGAACUGAACUGAACUGAUUGAAUAUGGUCAUUUUGAAUUCUAAAAUGCAUAAUGGUCAGGGGUAGCAUAUGAAGAAUCAGAAAAUUAUUAAUAUAAAGAGGAUAGCAACUCCUUUGUACAUAUGGAUGACAACAAGCCAAAGCCUUUUCAAUACAUCUCAGGAGCAGCCUGGUAUUUCUAAAAGAGUGAAAUGUUUCCGAACUUCUGACUCAUUUAUUUUAUUCAAUAUUUUGAUAACUUUCUCUGUGACAGGUACUAUUCCCAGACCAUGUAUUUUUGGUCUAGCAACAGACAAGUCUUGUGUCCUGUGGCAUAUGGAGAGUUGUGGAACUGAAGAACACUGCUGGCUUUGAAAGAAAGAAAGUGAAGUCACUCAGUCGUGUCCAUCUCUUUGCUACCCAAUGGACUAUAGCCUACCAGGCUCCUCCAUCCAUGGGAUUUUCCAGGCAAGAAUACUGGAGUGGGUUGCCAUUUCCUUCUCCAGAAGAUCUUCCCAAUCCAGGGAUUGAACCUGGGUCUCCGGCGUUGUAGGCAGACGCUUUACCAUGAGUCACUGACAACGUAAAAAUGUCUUAUGUAGUGACAAGAAUGUGUAAGCUUUAACUUAAAAAAAAAAAUUAUAGAUUAAACAGCUUGUUUACAAAACUAGGUACCAAGGAGAUAAUUAACAGGUUGGUUAUUUGGUAACUGAUGAAGAAUUCCCUAGAUAAGAAGGAAAUAUUUAAGAAAAAUUUAAAACUAUACAAUAUUUCUUAUUACAUUGCAUUUACAAAAUAUAUGCUUUCAAUUAAGUACAAAUAACAGUAAUUUCUCCUUUAGAAGCUAUCUUGUCUGUGGAAAUAUUUAAUUUACUAAUAUGUAAUAGAACAAGUAAAAUGAGUUCUAUAUGGAUAUAAUCUAUGCAACAAUAUAGCUUAAAAGAAGCAGCAGAGAAUGGAGCUAUACUGAAACAAUGAAAUAAUACCAGAGAGUAACUUGGAAAAAAGUUAGGAAGAAAUGAAGAAUAUCAGAAAUGGUAUAUAUGUAGGUUAAUAAAAAAGAAAAACUUCAUAAAUAUAAUAUUCUC
ensembl:lncRNA